rnacentral:tRNA from 2 species
GGUGUUACGCCGGACGAACGGAAAUCAUUGAUGUUGAUUAUUAUGGGAUUUUUCUCUGACACUA